rnacentral:rRNA from 1 species
GGUUCGAUCAUGGCUCAGAUCGAACGCCUGGCGGGAUACUUUACACAUGCAAGUCGAACGGCAGCACGGACUUCGGUCUGGUGGCGAGUGGCGAACGGGUGAGUAAUGUAUCGGAACGUGCCGGUGGCGAGGGGAUAUUCGCGGCGCUAGCCUAAUACCACAUACGCCCUUCGAGAAAGCAGGGGGACCUUCGGGCCUCACUAUUAGAGCGGCCGAUAUCGGAUUAGCUAUUGGUGGGGGUAACGGCUCACCAGGCGACGAUCCGUAGCUGGUUUGAGAGGACGACCAGCCACACUGGGACUGAGACACGGCAGACUCCUACGGAGGGCAGCAGUGGGGGAAUUUUGGACAAUAAGGAAACCACAGUCCAGCCAUCCCGCGUGUGCGAUGAAGGCCUUCGGGUUGUCAAAGCACUUUUGGCAGGAAGAAACGGCUUGCAGGAUAAUACCCGUGCAACUGACGAACACCUGCAGAAUAAGCACCGGCUAACUACGUGCAACAGCCAUGAUAAUACGUAGGGUGCAAGCGUUAAUCAGAUUACUGGGCGUAAAGCGUGCGCAGGCGGUUCGGAAAGAAAGAUGUGAAAUCCCAGAGCUUAACGGGCACCCUGUUGCACAACACCACCGAAAUAAGAGGUGUGUCCGGGGAGAACCGAUUCAUAAUAACGACAAAUGCGUGAUAACUGCAGGAAAGCACCGAUGAAAGCUGGCCUCUGGAACGCUUUUUGGGCGCUUGUGCACGAAAGCGGUGGGAGCAAACAGGAUUAGAUACCCUGGUAGUCCACGCCCUAAACGUGUCAACUAGCUGUUGGGGCCUUCGGGCGUUGGUAGCGCAGCUAACGCGUGAAGUUGACCGCCUGGGAGAUGCAGUCGCAAGACAAAACUCAAAGGAAUUGACGGGGACCCGCACAAGCGGUGGAUGAUGUGGAUUAAUUCGAUGCAACGCAGCAAACCUUCACUACCGCUUGACAUGUCUGGAAUCCCGAAAGAGAUUUGGGAGUGCUCGCAAGGGAACCGGGUUACAGGUGCUGCAUGGCUGUCGUCAGCUCGUGUCGUGAGAUGUUGGGUUAAGUCCGCAACAGAGGCGCAACCCUUGUCAUUGAAUUGCUACGAAGGGCACUCUAAUGAGACUGCCGGUGACAAACCGGGAAGGUGGGGAUGACGUCAAGUCCUCAUGGCCUUAUGGGCCAGGGCUUCACACGUCAUACAAUGGUCGGGACAGAGGGUCGCCAGCCGCGGGGAACCGAUGAAGCCGGAAUUCGCGCAGUCGGGAUCCGCGGUCUGCAGCUCAGGCUGCGACGAGUCAGAAUCGCCCCAAUGGCUCCCAGGUCAAUGGCAACGUAUUCGGCGGUGAUACGUUCCCCGGAUGCUUGCAACCACACACCGCCCGUCACACCAUGGGGAGUGGGUUUACCCAAGUGAAGUUGGCAGCUAUACUUGUAAGGAGGAGCGACGAUUACCACAGUAGAGGAUUCAUGACUGGGUGAAGUCGUAACAAAGGUAA